GGGGCUAACCCGCAAGAUUUACGCAGACUCAGAAAUCCCUGAGUUGGACGGCGGGUUAAUACUAAUAAAACAGAGGGGCUCUUUUGUAAACUAGCUUCGGCGAAGGGGUACGGUUGUAUUCUGACCGUUCGAUCUAUUCCGGAUGGUCCAGAUUAAAUACGUGAAGGGGUACACAAAGUUCUAAUCCUGAACCUACAACUCCAAUCCAACGGACCCUAUCCAUCCUCAAUCCUGCCCGUGGAUCUAUCCAUCUACGGCCUGGGUUCAACCUCCGAAUGGGUAAGUUACCUUCUAAUCCUGGACAUCCGCAUUUGAUCCAACGGUUCUAAGCUUUCUUCCCCACCGAUCAACCGAAGCCGUUGAUCCCAAGAUCAACGCCCCAGUGUUGUCUUCUUCCCCGGUCACACGCACCGACUGAGGCGGCGCUCCCGCCGGAGUACCGCCGAGCAAGAGCCGCCCCACUAUUCCUUAAUCCCAUCGGUUCAACGAAAUUAUGUGAUCACCAUAGAGAGGGUUGAUGGCUUACCGAAGGCAAAGACGACCGCGGGGAUGCUAUCCACAGCAAGCGGCCGCAUCCAAGCAGUGGAGUACCCUGCCUCAUUGCCUUCCUAUGCGUGCGGACAACAUAAGCAUGAACAUCGGGGCGACGUUGGCGAGCGUGAACAUGGGCACCCCGGCGAGCCGCAGAAGAAGCGCACCCCCAGCCGUCCACCCGACUCCGCCACAUGGGCACCAUGUGCUGACCGCACUCUCUUUCUUCUUGCUCCCGCCAUUGCCCAUGGCGGCAUUCAUCCCCAAUCUCAUUCCGAUGCGCAAUUCCGGCUCCACCGUUCGACAAUCCCCCCGUUGCGGCUACGAGAUCCCUUCCCAGAAGUUCGGCGAACUGCCCUAUCGAGUGCUUGGCUUCUUCAACGGAGACGAAUUUGGAUGUGGUGACUUUCCUGCUCGGCUCCCUGUUGAUGGAGCAGGCGCAGGUGUUCGGAGCUCGGUCCUUAUAGUCGCGGGGUGAUUCCGAGUUGGCAAAUGACUGGUUGCCCGAGGACGCCGCCGAGAUUCGCGGCCGGCGGAGCAACGGACAGAGAAGAGGAUAAGUCCCAACGGCGAAGUAGCGGUGUCUGUUACGGAGUUCGCGCGGAAGAAGAAAUAUCCGGCCUGACCACUAGGGUCUGCAUGGCAGCGAUCCAUGAGUGAGGCCACACACGCAAGGAGACGCUGGACAGUGGGUCCCAGUCGUCAGCGUAAAGCAGGCAGCACCAAUUUGAGCUGCGCAGGUGGCCAGGGUUGGUGGGCCGGUGGUGAUUUUGGCCCACAGCGCAGGUUAGGUGAGUCUUUUCCAUUUUUUCUUCUUAUUUUCUUAUUUCAUCUCUAAAAUUAAAUUUUGGACCCAAAUUCAAAUGUGGUUUUUGGGUUUUCAUUUCAAAUUGAAUGCAAAAUCAGAAUCCAACAUGGAUGCAAAUAUACAUAUAGUUUUUUUGUAUUUAUUAUUCAUGCUUCAAAACAUAAUGAUUUUGUAAAGACUUAUCCCUUUCAAAUAGAAUUAUUUCAAACAUAUUUAAAUAUAGUCCCUAUUUAUUACUUGCUUGUUUAAGGAUAUAGCGAUUUACAUUUUUUUUAUUAAGAGUUCUUUUGAUCCUUAAUCUUUUUGAGAAAAAAAUAUAUAAAAAUCCCAAAAUAGGAUUUUAGGUGUUACAAACUCUACCCCCCUUAACAGAAAUCUCGUCCUCGAGAUUUGUAAUAAAAGAGACAUAAAAUAAUUGGUUUAUGCUUUUAGCCUUUAAUUUCUAAUUGGUUCAAAAAUUCAGAGUCUCACAUUUUUUAUAGUCAAUAGUGGACGAUUGGCAGAACAUAGGUAUCAUGCCACUUAUUAUGUAGGAUAUAAGAGAUGGAUAGGUUUGUGUAAGAAUAGCCAGGGGUAAGAAAGUUUAUAGUGAGGAAGAACUCCGUGUUGGGUGGUAAUGCAUCUGAAGUUUGAGUUUGACUUCUCUCCUUCCUUGACGAGGUUGAUCUUUUCUUCUCCAGUCUUGGUCUCAUUGAUUCAUGGUUAGUGUAUAUCAUCGGUUGGGGAAUAUGGUUAAGAUAGAUAUGGAUGAGAUAGACUACAUGAUGUAGGUCAAAGGUUCGUUUGAUGAUAGGUGGGGAUAGGCAGAUUAUGCAAUCCAUCAUAACUCUAUUGGUUGGGUUGGUCUAUCAAUCUUUAUUUAGUGUAGGGUGAACUAGGUUAAAACAUGUGGAUAGGGUCUAAUCUAUUUCACAAGUAUUAACUCACCUAUUUGAGUGAGUUACAUUAGGUUAGUUUAGAUUAGAUGGAAACUAUAUUAGUUUAGCGUAACUAGAUUUGACUAAAUAAGAUCUAAUUAAUUUGAUUUAGACCAUGUUUAUUACUCUAGGAUGAGAUAAGUAAAGUGGUUAGGAUAAGACGAAUCUUUUAAGAUAAAUUGAAUCUAUUAAGAUAAGCAAGAAUCUUGUAGGAUAAGAUAGAUUUAUUAAGCUAGAUAUAUUUUAAUUAGGAUAAGUUAGGAUCUUUUGAGAUGGGAUGGAUCUAUGAGUGUAGGAUAGAAUCUUUUAAGAUGAGAUGAAUAUUGUUAGGCUAGAUACUUUAAUGAGGGAUAAUCUAGUUCAUCUAGUUAUUUUAUAAAUAUUAUCCUUUAUGCCUAUAUGUAUAUGCAGAUGUAAUUGUGGACAUUACUCCACAACUCAUCACACUCAAUCAAAGAAUCAAAUCAGACAAUUGUCAUAAGAACAAACAGUCAAGUGCCUAGAUACCUAUAAAGAAAAUAUAGUUUCGUUUUUGUUCCUAUGAAUAGGUCUCCUAUUCCUAAAGGUCACUUUAGGUAUAGGAUUUCAAAGUGUGAAAUCCACAUUUGUCUUUAGAAGGAAAAGGUAAGAAUAAUCAGAGUAAAGCGGAAAUAGAUGAGAAAAGAUUAAGAAAAGUUUAGAAAGAAUCAGAGUGGCAAAGGUAAGUAGAGAAUGGUUGUCUAGUUCUAUCUAGGUUUCGUCCUACAGUCAAUAUUCCUCUGAUACCACUUCUGUCACACCCGGAUUUUAGGGGCACCAAGACCGGGCGCGAACAUAAUCACCAGGUGUGCUGGGACCAAGUCUCACACAUAUGACGAAUCAUGGCACAUGAUCGAAUGUCACAUCUUUACUAUAUAAUAGGAGUUCUAUACAAAAUAAAUAAAUAAAUACAUUAUAAGGAGACAGCGGUCCAGCAACCCAAAGUUGACUGGGAGACGACGACCUAGAUCUCUCACGAACACAUCGCAGCAUCCUCCAUGCGCCUCAUCCUGCGGUACCUGUUCUUGACCUAUGGGGGGUGUGAGACAGCAAGAGUGAGCUCACAUACGUUCAUCGCUCAACAAGUUGUGGGGAAUAAUGUGCAUGAACUCGCCAAAGGUGGGAGCUCAUGUGAAGUGUAAGGCUUACCAAAGAGGAUGGUUAGAGCUGAGCAUUGCUUUUAAAGUUGGUCAAAAUUUUAUUAGCAAUUACUAAGUAUAAGUAAAUACCAACCCAAUUAAGUAGUAGAACAAAAGUAACAACCUCACCUGCGAUGCAAUGCAUAUGACAAAUUGAAUUUAGGUUCCAUAAAUUAAUCAUGUGAGUGUCCGAGCUGCUCAUGACCAUGAGCACGGCUAGUAUACCAGUUUUACACUCUGCAUAGGUUGCACAUCUUUACCCACAAGUCAUGUUACCCAUCUGCCAAGAGACGGCCAAUCCCAUACACCUCUACCGAGGAGGCGAGGCAGGGUAACACUACGAGGCCUUUACAAAGUUCCACUAGCUUCAGAAAACCCGCUACAGUUUAUAGGAAGCUCCAAUGCAGGAAUCCCUCGCAUGACCGCCAUCGCAGCAAAAUCAUCCCAAGGGCCUCCCUACACUGACCACUCCCCUACUGCCCUUUCCCCUUUCGGGUAAGGUAGUCAUCCACUAGCUUUCCUAAUUAAUCAGCCAAGGGUGUCCAUAAACCCUUGUGGUAGCACUGUUUUCUCGGGUGGUUCUCCAUGUUCCAAUUAACAUAAUGAUCUUAACAUGAACAAUAAAUAACAACUAAUAACAAGAGUAUAAUCAUGAAUAGUGUAAUCUUCAUACCCAAAACCACAUAAAUCAAUAGCAGGUACUACCCAAAAAGUUUAGUGGUGUCAAGGUAUAUAGAUAAUCAAACUAGGGUAACCUGUUGGGUCCCAUCAAAAUUAACCUAUGCAGAUCAUUAUGAUUAAUCAGAAUAUGACUGGGUAAAAAGAAGUGAUCAAGGGCACAACUUGCCUGGCAAUUGAGAUUCCAGGUAUCAAUUUGCUCUUCAGAUGACACGUAACCUCGCGCUAGUCGUAGCAAUACAAACAAACAUGGUAUAGACAAAAUUAACAUCACACCAAACAUAAGAAUAAAUUGUGUAAUAUUAUUCUACGCUGCGUAACGAGAUCGUAGAAACAAGAACCACUAAAUUCGGAACUAUGGUUAUUAAGUUAUGAAUUUCCGAAAUUAUUUAGUGCUUAAAAUAGAUUAAUCCAAAUGAACAAUUUUAAUUCAUGUUUCAUGGCUAAACAGUGUUACUAGUUGAUAGACAAUAUUAAUACAAAAUUAUUGCAACUGGAAUGACUCAAUUUGGAGCUAAAAUGAAUUAACUAUGAAUUAUACAAGUUUAUAGAAUUAUUUUCAUACUAAAAACCUAUUUCUUUAUUAAUUUCUGAAUAUCCUAAGUGUUCUGGACUGGCUCAAUAUUUCUUAAAAGAUUAGGGGCUAACCCGCAAGAUUUACGCAGACUCAGAAAUCCCUGAGUUGGACGGCGGGUUAAUACUAAUAAAACAGAGGGGCUCUUUUGUAAACUAGCUUCGGCGAAGGGGUACGGUUGUAUUCUGACCGUUCGAUCUAUUCUGGAUGGUCCAGAUUAAAUACGUGAAGGGGUACACAAAGUUCUAAUCCUGAACCUACAACUCCAAUCCAACGGACCCUAUCCAUCCUCAAUCCUG
rnacentral:lncRNA from 1 species